ensembl:lncRNA
UGAGUGCUUUGAAGAGUCUUAAGACCAUGCAGAAAGCAGAGUAGGGGCCCCCUCUCUGGCAGGGUUAGCUUGUAACACAGUUUGAAAUAUUUUUCAGGGAUGGUCACAGCCUUCCCUGUUAGUGUCCACAUUUCUUGGGAAGCAGUGGCCCAGACACAGGGCUCCUGCAAGCCUGGGCAUAAAACCUCACUUACGGAGGAAGCCUCGUUGGACCAGUGUGGGCCUGAGCUCUUCAUCACAGCUAGGGUCCUUCUCUAGCUUGUAGCAACAGAAACUGGCCCAGGGCUUUGCUUUUCUUCUGACCAGGUGGAACCUGAAUACGACACCCAUUUUUGAUUUUGCAAAAGGCAAGUCUUCCAGCUUCUGGGACAGACGCGUCUGACACCAGGGGAAAACUACAGUUGCGUGGUCCCUUACUCCAUCUGCCGGCUCUGCAUCCUUACCCUGUGCCCACCUCCUGGCUCUGGCUGGCUGUUGGCACCCCGCACCCGCGGGUUCCCUAUUGCAGCACCGGGAAGGCCUUUCGGGGUCAUUUUGAGGUAUUAUCAUGACACGUCCAGUUAGACUUGAGGGAAAAAAGUGCUUUUCCAAAAAGAGAUAAAAUGCGAGUUCUUAGUCCACGGCUGCGAGGACACGGAGAGCUUGGCAAAUAGAACCGGCAAAGCUUCUUUCUCUCUCGCUCGGUUGGAGCAGGACAACUGGAGCCGGUCAGCUGCUGACCAGAUGCUGCCUUCAAUUAAUAUGCCAACCCUCAAAGACGUUUAUCGCUCACUCUCAAAAGCAGAGCAGCUGAGUAAUAAAGGCAACUACUAAAACCAUUUUUUUUUUAGAGCAUUUGUAAUGGCUAAAUUGCUUGAAAUAAAUUAGCAAAAAAAAUAAACAUAGUUUGUACAGUAUCUGUAAAACAAAUUCCUAGUCUUGGGAAAAUAGACAAAGUGAGAGCUUGUAUUUAACAAGCAUAUGCAAUAUGCUUCAUUAAGACAGGGCUUUUUUUUUUUCUUCUAAAUUUAAAAAGGGUUAAUAAACUCCAAGAUAUCAUUGCCAGUUAAACAGGUCCUGCACCAUUUUAAGGGAAGUAAGAGGUUACAAAGGAGACAGUUAAAAAGAAACCAAGAGACUGUGUUGUAGUGCUAACAGGCAAUUAACAAACUCAUGGGUGU